CUCGCUAAUACAUAUUAUAUCGUUAAUAACCCAUUUAGGAUUUGAUUACGUGUGUAUACGAAUCAUAUUUAGGAGGUGUGCAAAGAAAUUGUGGGAGUGCAGGAAGUAAAAACCUAAUAUAGAUGGACAGUGUCAACAACCUAAUACAUGACGCCUUCCUUUUGAACACAAUUUUUUAUAGGUUUAAACCUCUUUUUGGUCCCUAAGUUAUGAGCGGAUGUUCAGUUUAGUCCCCGCUUUUAAAAAUAUAAACUUUUGAUUCCUAAGUUAUAAAAAAUGUAUCAAAUGAGUCCUUUUUUUAUGUUCAUGUUCAAAGUACAAAGAGCAAUCUAAAGUGCUGUUAUUAUUAAGAAACAAAGCAGUUGUUAAGAAACAACCAAAAACAUUAUUUCAAGUCAAAAAAUGACUCAUUUGAUACAUUUUUUAUAACUUAGGGACCAAAGAUUUACAUUUUUAAAAACGGGGACUAAACUGAACAUCCACUUAUAACUUAGGGACCAAAAAGAGGUUUAAACCUUUUUUAUAUAACAAUGUUCUGAAUCAGCUGGAAUAUCUCUUUUAUUCUAUGAGAAAGAUGAAUAACAAAAGGACUUCCACCACUCAAUGUCUCUUUGUUUGCUAAGGAUGUCUUUCCCUCCUCCUUUAUAUUGUGCCACUGUAAGAAAUUCUCUUAUAUGUCUGUUUAAUGGGAUCUAUCAAAACAAUUAAAUAACAAUUGAAUAAUAGAACAAUAAGUAUUACAGUAAAACUGUCUAUAACUUUCAACAACAUACGAGUAACACUAAAGACAAUAAACCAAAGAAGAAUGUUUUUUUGAUCAUUUUUCAAUCAAGGUCUAAUUGAAGUCCAAAGAAAAUCUACUUACACUUCUACAAAGUCUUACAAAAAUACAAUAUAUAUAUAUAUAUAUAUAUAUAUAUAUAUAUAUAUAUAUAUAUAUAUAUAUAUAUAUAUAUUCAAUUUCAAAAGAUUAUGAAGAAGAAAAAU
rnacentral:lncRNA from 1 species